GAUGAACGCUAGCUACAGGCUUAACACAUGCAAGUCGAGGGGAAACGACAUCGAAAGCUUGCUUUUGAUGGGCGUCGACCGGCGCACGGGUGAGUAACGCGUAUCCAACCUGCCCAUCACUUGGGAAUAACCUUGCGAAAGUAAGACUAAUACCCAAUGACAUCCCACGAAGACAUCUGAAUGGGAUUAAAGAUUUAUCGGUGAUGGAUGGGGAUGCGUCUGAUUAGCUUGUUGGCGGGGUAACGGCCCACCAAGGCAACGAUCAGUAGGGGUUCUGAGAGGAAGGUCCCCCACAUUGGAACUGAGACACGGUCCAAACUCCUACGGGAGGCAGCAGUGAGGAAUAUUGGUCAAUGGGCGAGAGCCUGAACCAGCCAAGUAGCGUGCAGGAUGACGGCCCUAUGGGUUGUAAACUGCUUUUAUAAGGGAAUAAAGUGGGUCUCGUGAGACUUUUUGCAUGUACCUUAUGAAUAAGAACCGGCUAAUUCCGUG
rnacentral:rRNA from 1 species